CCCAGACUCCUACGGGAGGCAGCAGUGGGGAAUAUUGCACAAUGGGGGAAACCCUGAUGCAGCGACGCCGCGUGAGCGAUGAAGUAUUUCGGUAUGUAAAGCUCUAUCGGCAGGGAAGAAAAUGACGGUACCUGACUAAGAAGCCCCGGCUAACUACGUGCCAGCAGCCGCGGUAAUACGUAGGGGGCAAGCGUUAUCCGGAUUUACUGGGUGUAAAGGGAGCGUAGACGGCUGUGCAAGCCAGAUGUGAAAGCCCGGGGCUCAACCCCGGGACUGCAUUUGGAACUGCGUGGCUUGAGUGUCGGAGAGGCAGGCGGAAUUCCUAGUGUAGCGGUGAAAUGCGUAGAUAUACGGAGGAACACCAGUGGCGAAGGCGGCCUGCUGGACAUUAACUGACGCUGAGGCGCGAAAGCGUGGGGAGCAAACAGGAUUAGAUACCCUCGUACA
rnacentral:rRNA from 1 species